rnacentral:rRNA from 1 species
GAAUUUUGGACAAUGGGCGAAAGCCUGAUCCAGCAAUGCCGCGUGCAGGAUGAAGGCCUUCGGGUUGUAAACUGCUUUUGUACGGAACGAACAGCUUUGGGUUAAUACCCUGGAGUCAUGACGGUACCGUCAGAAUACGAACCGGCUAACUACGUGCAAGCCGCCGCGGUAAUACGUAGUGGGCAAGCGUUAAUCGGAAUUACUGGGCGUAAAGCGUGCGCAGGCGGUUUUGUAAGACAGAUGGGAAAUCCCCGGGCUCAACCUGGGAACUGCCUUUGUGACUGCCCCGCGCCCCUGCUUCACCUUGUUCUAUCAUUCCUCUUUUAGCAGUACAAUGCGUAGAUAUCCUGAGGAACACCGAUUGCGAAGGCAACCCCCUGGGCCUGUACUGACGCUCAUGCACGAAAGCGUGGGGAGCAAACG